UGUGUUUUAAACUCUUUGUAUGAUGAUUAAAAAUCUAUUUUAUGGUUUGGGAGUUUUGGUUAUGAAUUCGGUUGUUUGGAUGUGAUUUAAGGGCUGAAAUUCGUGGUUUAUUGCUGAUUUUUCUGGGUUUUAAACCCAGGUGUCGCGGCGCGCCCAUUUCUUUCUGGGCAGAUCCUUUUGCAAACUUCAAAUAGCCAUAACUUUGUGAUUCGGAUUCCGAUUUGGGAGUUCUAUAUACCGUUGGAAAGCUCUUUUCGAGCUCUAUCUGAAUAUCUAAAUUUUAAAUGUCAUGUGAAUAUUUUAUGAAUGUGAAAUUAGGGGUUAACCCUAGUUGUGAACUCCCGGAUUGUGUGACUAGAAUUACCGGCACCUGAUCAAGAGCACCCGGGGAUUCGGAAUCUCUGAUAUUGCAGGACAACAGGAAAGGGUAAGGCAUUAGUUGAUCAGCCAUGAGUUCAGGAGUUGGGUAAAGAAUGUACAUGUCCGGGCCAUAUCAGACCAAGCGGGUUGAGGGUCUACCAGUGUUGAAUUUUUUAAACUCUAUUUUGCCGCUUAGGCCGGCUAACAGAAAGAGACUUGUAAUAAAGUUUGUAAAUAUUUUUGGGAUCCCAAUUGCUGUAAAGUUUAAAUUAUUACAAGUUUUAUUUUCAUUUUGUUUAUUAUAAGAGUUUAAAUUCUGUGCUA